rnacentral:misc_RNA from 1 species
GAUGAAGAACGCAGCGAAAUGCGAUAAGUAAUGUGAAUUACAGAAUUCAGUGAAUCAUCGAAUCUUUGAACGCACAUUGCGCCCCCUGGUAUUCCGGGGGGCAUGCCUGUUCGAGCGUCAUUUCACCACUCAAGCCUCGCUUGGUAUUGGGCAACGCGGUCCGCCGCGUGCCUCAAAUCGACCGGCUGGGUCUUCUGUCCCCUAAGCGUUGUGGAAACUAUUCGCUAAAGGGUGUUCGGGAGGCUACGCCGUAAAACAACCCCAUUUCUAAGGUUGACCUCGGAUCAGGUAGGGAUACCCGCUGAACUUAAGCAUAUCAAUAAGCGGAGGA